rnacentral:rRNA from 1 species
GACGAACGCUGGCGGCGUGCUUAACACAUGCAAGUCGAACGGAAAGGCCCGGCGUUUGUGGGUUGCUCGAGUGGCGAACGGGGGAGUAACACGUGAGUAACCUGCCCUUGACUGUGGGAUAACUUCAGGAAACUGGGGCUAAUACCGGAUAGGAUCUCCUGCUGCAUGGGGGGGGUUGGAAAGUGUCGGCGGUUGGGGAUGGACUCGCGGCUUAUCAGCUUGUUGGUGGGGUAGUUGCUUACCAAGGCUUUGACGGGUAGCCGGCCUGAGAGGGUGAACGGCCACAUUGGGACUGCGAUACGGAGCAGACUCCUACGGGAGGCAGCAGUGGGGAAUAUUGCACAAUGGGCCGACGCCUGAUGCAGCAACGCCGCGUGCGGGAUGCCGGCUUUCGGGUGGUAAACCGAUUUCGCCUGUGACGAAGCGUGAGUGACGGUAAUGGGUAAAGAAGCACCGGCUAACUACGUG